rnacentral:rRNA from 1 species
AUACGUAGGGGGUUAGCGUUAUCCGGAAUUACUGGGCGUAAAGGGUGCGUAGGUGGUUUCUUAAGUCAGAAGUGAAAGGCUACGGCUCAACCGUAGUAAGCUUUUGAAACUAAGAGACUUGAGUGCGGGAGAGGAGAGUAGAAUUCCUAGUGUAGCGGUGAAAUGCAUAGAUAUUAGGAGGAAUACCAGUUGCGAAGGCGGUUCUCUGGACUGUAACUGACACGGAGGCACGAGAGCGGGGGGAACAAACAGGAUUAGAUACCCUGGGAGUCCGCGCCGUAAACGAGGAGUACUAGCUGUCGGGGGUUACCCCCCUCGGUGGCGCAGCUAACGCAUUAAGUACUCCGCCUGGGAAGUACGCUCGCAAGAGUGAAACUCAAAGGAAUUGACGGGG